GGUUCCUCUGGCCACGUGGAGAUCAUCUCUGGCAUUUGACUAGCUGGGUAAUGUUUUACUUCUCCUGACCAAGAUGGCUCGCUCAAAUUAAUCCUGCAGUCACUGAGACUGGAAGUACAGUUCCUACCUCCUGAUGGUUACCAGCAGCCUGUUUGAACAGAGUUGAUGACUCCCAGUGGUGUUCUUGAUGGGCAAUGUCUCCAUCUUUUAAAAUCAUCCUUACAGACAGGAAAUGGGCAUAAUGCUUGGAGCUGUCAAUGCAAGGACCCUCCACCGGUGCCUAACAACCUUGCUGAAUUAUAUUCCUGUCAGCAGAAAGCAGGAAAUGAGUUACAGUGAUUUAAACAUGGGACUAGAAGAGUUCGACCUUCCAACUACAAAAAGGAAUACUCUCAUUAAUGCCCUGUUUUCUUGAUAAUGUAUGUAUUUUUUUGUCUGAUCAUGCACUGAGUCCCAGUGCUGUGGUAGCUUCUGACCGGGAGA